UGCAGAAUGCCGUGAACCAUCGAGUCUUUGAACGCAAGUUACGCCCCAAGCCAUUUGGCCGAGGCACGUCUACCUGGGUGUC
rnacentral:rRNA from 1 species